AGACACCAGGGCAUCCUGCGGCUGGAAUGGUGAAAAGGUUUUGAGUCCCAUCCCUGGUUCCAGGCAAGUUCUCAGUAGAAAGCGAGGUCAGGAGGCUGCUGGUGAGGCCCACGGCCUGAAAGAAUGUCUGGCACGUGGCCUUUCCUGGGAAAGCUGCAGAUUUACAUCCUAAGGGCAAGAAAAGAAAACAUCAAGAGACAGAGAAGCAGAGGGUUACAGGUCGCUAAGCUGCACUGAGAAUGAAGACUUUCAUUCAUCUUACUUGAAGCUGGGGACCAGGAGAACGAAGGUCUGUAAUUGCACCCUCUUCUAUCAGGCCCUUUUGAGAAUGUGACUGGAUUAUGUCCUUUCUGUUUCUCAUAGGGAAGGAAUCAGUGAAGUGAUUGGGAUGAUAAUAUUGCAUUUUUCAUUGGAACACCCAGUGCCAGGUAUGUGACC
rnacentral:lncRNA from 1 species